GCCGGGAUACCCUAGCCUGGUAGGGGGCUGGCUUGCUAAGCCCGUGUCUCGCAAGGGACUCCCGGCGCCA
rnacentral:tRNA from 1 species